rnacentral:piRNA from 1 species
CCUGUGGAUUUCAGGAUUUCCGAGCAGA